GAACUAGACCCCAAUAUGUUGCUCCCCCUGAACUAGACCCCAAUAUGUUGCUCCCCCUGUACUAGACCCAAUAUACCCCAAUAUGUUGCUCCCCCUGUACUAGACCCAAUAUACCCCAAUAUGUUGCUCCCCCUGUACUAGACCCAAUAUGUCCCAGUAUGUUGCUCCCCCUGAACUAGACCCCAAUAUGUUGCAUCCCCUGAACUAGACCCCAAUAUUUUGCUCCCCCUGAACUAGACCCCAAUAUUUUGCUCCCCCUGAACUAGACCCCAAUAUGUUGCAUCCCCCUGAACUAGACCCCAAUAUUUUGCUCCCCGCUGAACUAGACCCAAUAUGUUGCUCCCCCUGAACUAGACCCCAAUAUGUUGCUCUCCCCCGAACUAGACCCCAAUAUGUUGCUCCCCCUGAACUAGACCCCAAUAUGUUGCUCCCCCUGAACUAGACCCCAAUAUGUUGCUCCCCCUGAACUAGACCCCAAUAUGUUGCAUCCCCCUGAACUAGACCCCAAUAUUUUGCUCCCCGCUGAACUAGACCCAAUAUGUUGCUCCCCUGAACUAGACCCCAAUAUGUUGCUCUCCCCGAACUAGACCCCAAUAUGUUGCUCCCCCUGAACUAGACCCCAAUAUGUUGCUCCCCCUGUACUAGACCCAAUAUGUCCCAGUAUGUUGCUCCCCCUGAACUAGACCCCAA
ensembl:lncRNA